UACGGAGGGUGCAAGCGUUAAUCGGAAUUACUGGGCGUAAAGCGUGCGCAGGCGGUUUGUUAAGUCCGCUGUGAAAUCCCCGAGCUCAACUUGGGAAUUGCAGUGGAUACUGGCAAGCUGGAGUAUGGUAGAGGUGCGUGGAAUUCCUGGUGUAGCGGUGAAAUGCGUAGAUAUCAGGAGGAACACCUGUGGCGAAAGCGGCGCACUGGACCACAACUGACGCUGAGGCGCGAAAGCUAGGGGAGCAAACAGG
rnacentral:rRNA from 1 species